AUGUUGUCUCAACCUUUUGGUUGAAAUCAAAUGUAGCAUCUAUUCUGAUCAAUUUAAUGUGUGAUAUAAUCUUUUUUUUUUUUUUUGGUUCUUUUUUUCGGAGCUGGGGACCGAACCCAGGGCCUUGCGCUUCCUAGGCAAGCGCUCUACCA
ensembl:snRNA LOC120099540 U2 spliceosomal RNA